rnacentral:siRNA from 1 species
GAAGAUGCUUAAAUAGCCGUUGGU